UUAAGCGACUAAGCGUACACGGUGGAUGCCCUGGCAGUCAGAGGCGAUGAAGGACGUGCUAAUCUGCGAAAAGCGUCGGUAAGGUGAUAUGAACCGUUAUAACCGGCGAUGUCCGAAUGGGGAAACCCAGUGCAAUUCGUUGCACUAUCGUUAACUGAAUACAUAGGUUAACGAGGCGAACCGGGGAACUGAAACAUCUAAGUACCCCGAGGAAAAGAAAUCAACCGAGAUUCCCCAGUAGCGGCGAGCGAACGGGAGCAGCCCAGAGUCUGAAUCAGCUUGUGUUAGUGGAACGGUCUGGAAAGUCCGACGGUACAGGGUGAUAGUCCCGUACACCAAAAUGCACAGGCUGUGAACUCGAAGAGUAGGGCGGGACACGUGGUAUCCUGUCUGAAUAUGGGGACCAUCCUCCAGGCUAAAUACUCCUGACUGACCGAUAGUGAACCAGUACCGUGAGGGAAAGGCGAAAAGAACCCCGGCGAGGGGAGUGAAAAGAACCUGAAACCGUGUACGUACAAGCAGUGGGAGCACCUUCGGGUGUGACUGCGUACCUUUUGUAUAAUGGGUCAGCGACUUAUAUUCUGUAGCAAGGUUAACCGUAUAGGGGAGCCGCAGGGAAACCGAGUCUUAACUGGGCGUUAAGUUGCAGGGUAUAGACCCGAAACCCGGUGAUCUAGCCAUGGGCAGGUUGAAGGUUGGGUAACACUAACUGGAGGACCGAACCGACUAAUGUUGAAAAAUUAGCGGAUGACUUGUGGCUGGGGGUGAAAGGCCAAUCAAACCGGGAGAUAGCUGGUUCUCCCCGAAAGCUAUUUAGGUAGCGCCUCGUGAACUCAUCUUCGGGGGUAGAGCACUGUUUCGGCUAGGGGGUCAUCCCGACUUACCAACCCGAUGCAAACUACGAAUACCGAAGAAUGUUAUCACGGGAGACACACGGCGGGUGCUAACGUCCGUCGUGAAGAGGGAAACAACCCAGACCGCCAGCUAAGGUCCCAAAGUCAUGGUUAAGUGGGAAACGAUGUGGGAAGGCACAGACAGCCAGGAUGUUGGCUUAGAAGCAGCCAUCAUUUAAAGAAAGCGUAAUAGCUCACUGGUCGAGUCGGCCUGCGCGGAAGAUGUAACGGGCUAAACCAUGCACCGAAGCUGCGGCAGCGACACUAUGUGUUGUUGGGUAGGGGAGCGUUCUGUAAGCCUGCGAAGGUGUGCUGUGAGGCAUGCUGGAGGUAUCAGAAGUGCGAAUGCUGACAUAAGUAACGAUAAAGCGGGUGAAAAGCCCGCUCGCCGGAAGACCAAGGGUUCCUGUCCAACGUUAAUCGGGGCAGGGUGAGUCGACCCCUAAGGCGAGGCCGAAAGGCGUAGUCGAUGGGAAACAGGUUAAUAUUCCUGUACUUGGUGUUACUGCGAAGGGGGGACGGAGAAGGCUAUGUUAGCCGGGCGACGGUUGUCCCGGUUUAAGCAUGUAGGCUGAUUGUCCAGGCAAAUCCGGAUAAUCAAGGCUGAGGUGUGAUGACGAGGCACUACGGUGCUGAAGUAACAAAUGCCCUGCUUCCAGGAAAAGCCUCUAAGCAUCAGGUAACAUCAAAUCGUACCCCAAACCGACACAGGUGGUCAGGUAGAGAAUACCAAGGCGCUUGAGAGAACUCGGGUGAAGGAACUAGGCAAAAUGGUGCCGUAACUUCGGGAGAAGGCACGCUGGUGUGUAGGUGAAGUCCCUGCGGAUGGAGCUGAGACCAGUCGAAGAUACCAGCUGGCUGCAACUGUUUAUUAAAAACACAGCACUGUGCAAACACGAAAGUGGACGUAUACGGUGUGACGCCUGCCCGGUGCCGGAAGGUUAAUUGAUGGGGUUAUCCGUAAGGAGAAGCUCUUGAUCGAAGCCCGGUAAACGGCGGCCGUAACUAUAACGGUCCUAAGGUAGCGAAAUUCCUUGUCGGGUAAGUUCCGACCUGCACGAAUGGCGUAAUGAUGGCCAGGCUGUCUCCACCCGAGACUCAGUGAAAUUGAACUCGCUGUGAAGAUGCAGUGUACCCGCGGCAAGACGGAAAGACCCCGUGAACCUUUACUAUAGCUUGACACUGAACAUUGAGCCUUGAUGUGUAGGAUAGGUGGGAGGCUUUGAAGCGUGGACGCCAGUCUGCGUGGAGCCAACCUUGAAAUACCACCCUUUAAUGUUUGAUGUUCUAACGUUGGCCCCUGACCGGGGUUGCGGACAGUGUCUGGUGGGUAGUUUGACUGGGGCGGUCUCCUCCCAAAGCGUAACGGAGGAGCACGAAGGUUAGCUAAUCCUGGUCGGACAUCAGGAGGUUAGUGCAAUGGCAUAAGCUAGCUUGACUGCGAGCGUGACGGCGCGAGCAGGUGCGAAAGCAGGUCAUAGUGAUCCGGUGGUUCUGAAUGGAAGGGCCAUCGCUCAACGGAUAAAAGGUACUCCGGGAUAACAGGCUGAUACCGCCCAAGAGUUCAUAUCGACGGCGGUGUUUGGCACCUCGAUGUCGGCUCAUCACAUCCUGGGGCUGAAGUAGGUCCCAAGGGUAUGGCUGUUCGCCAUUUAAAGUGGUACGCGAGCUGGGUUUAGAACGUCGUGAGACAGUUCGGUCCCUAUCUGCCGUGGGCGCUGGAGAAUUGAGGGGGGCUGCUCCUAGUACGAGAGGACCGGAGUGGACGCAUCACUGGUGUUCGGGUUGUCAUGCCAAUGGCACUGCCCGGUAGCUAAAUGCGGAAGAGAUAAGUGCUGAAAGCAUCUAAGCACGAAACUUGCCCCGAGAUGAGUUCUCCCUGAGACUUUAAGUCUCCUGAAGGAACGUUAAAGACGAUGACGUUGAUAGGCCGGGUGUGUAAGCGCAGCGAUGCGUUGAGCUAACCGGUACUAAUGAACCGUGAGGCUUAACCU
rnacentral:rRNA from 1 species